rnacentral:lncRNA from 1 species
AUGAGCAAAAAUAUUAUCCAUUAUUUCCGUGUAUUUGUAGAACUGCUUACACCGGGCCCCAAUGUGCCUUCUGCUGGCUGUCUCACGCAGUUCUUGCUCAUGGCUUUGGCAUACAGGUGCAGCCCAGGGCUCAAAUGGGUGCUGCUCUUUGAGGUCCUACCCCUCAGAGCAAGUCGACUUGGGAACGGAGUUCAAAUCCUUUACAGGGCAUCAGACGAGGACAGAAAGAACGACUCCAGGGAAGGAGCUCUUGUCCAUCAGAGGGAAGCACACCCGUCCAGGCGUCUGGCACAGCCGGACUCAUUUGUUUCAGGAGACUUUCCCUUUGUAAAGCUGACUUGCAGACUGAUAUUCAUAGGUUCAUUUUAUUGGUCAUAUGUACUCUAUGAAGUUAAGAACAAUUUUGCCCUCUCUAAUCCACACUUCUAUGCCUGGGCUCAUUUUACCUUUCUAAUCAUUUCAUAUAUGCAAAUAUUUUUUGCUGAUUUAAACACAGAAGUCCACAUUUAGCACAUUUAUUCCAGGCAUUUUGUCCAUGAGGGAACUUAUCAUCCCCAACUAUUUAUUUUUUGUAUAUCCUUGUAUUGGUACAUUUUAGGUGUGCAAUAUAGUGACAUUCAUCAUUGGAAAUUUGCACCUUUACAUAUCUUGGAUCUUAUUUUCCCCCCUUCCCCUGCCCUCCCUUCAGCCCCUCCCUCCCUCCCUAUUUACAAAGACUUUGUUUCC